CCUAGCUGUCUGAGAGGAUGACCAGCCACACUGGAACUGAGACACGGUCCAGACUCCUACGGGAGGCAGCAGUGGGGAAUAUUGCACAAUGGGCGCAAGCCUGAUGCAGCCAUGCCGCGUGUAUGAAGAAGCCUUCGGGUUGUAAAGUACUUUCAGCGGGGAGGAAGGGAGUAAAGUUAAUACCUUUGCUCAUUGACGUUCCCGCAGAAGAACACCGGCUAACUCCGUGCCAGCAGCCGCGGUAAUACGGAGGGUGCAAGCGUUAAUCGGAAUUACUGGGGCGUAAAAGCGCACCAGGGCGGUUUUGUUAAAGUCAGAUGUGAAAUCCCCGGGCUCAACCUGGGAACUGCAUUCUGAUACUGGCCAAGCUUGAGUCUCGUAGAGGGGGGUAGAUUCCCAGGUGUAGCGGUGAAAUGCGUAGAGAUCUGGAGGAAUACCGGUGGCGAAGGCGGCCCCCUGGAGAAGACUGACGCUCAGGUGCGAAAGCGUGGGGGAGCAAACAGGGAUUAGAUACCCUGGUAGUCCACGCCGUAAAACGAUGUCGACUUGGAAGGUUGUGCCCCUUGGAGGCGUGGCUUUCCGGGAGCUUAACGCGUUAAGUCGAACCGCCUGGGGGAAGUACGCCCGCAAAGGUUAAAAACUCAAAUGAUUUGACGGGGGGCCCGCACAAAGCGGUGGGAGCAUGGUGGUUUUAAUUUCCGAUGCAACGCGAAGAACCUUACCUGGUCUUGACAUCCACAGAACUUUCCAGAGAUGAUUGUGCCUUCGGGAACUGUGAGACAGGUGCUGCAUGGCUGUCGUCAGCUCGUGUUGUGAAAUGUUGGGUUAAGUCCCGCAACGAGCGCAACCCUUAUCCUUUGUUGCCAGCGGUCCGGCCGGGAACUCAAAGGAGACUCCAGUGAUAAACUGGAGGAAGGUGGGAUGACGUCAAGUCAUCAUGGCCCU
rnacentral:rRNA from 1 species